UCUGUCCCGAGGGGGCCGCGAACCCGGUGGCCGCGGGCGAGGCUGGCGGGGACCGGCGUCCUCGUCGCCGGGGAGCCCGAGCCGCUGGGCCCGGGCCGGACGGUUCGGUCGUGUUUGCGCGCGCGGUGGUGCGAGGCCCCUUGUUGCCGGCGGAGGUGGAGAGGUGAUGGCAGAGGGACGCGAGGAGCAACAACAACAACAAAGAGGAGUCCUUUAUGGCAAAGUCAGACCAUCCUAGGCCUCUUGAGAGUUACUCCUUACUCUUUGGAAUGAACGCACUUCGGGCAGGAUGACUGAAACUCAGAGGAUGGUCCCUGGGGAGCCUCGUGCUUCUGGAGGAAUGAACACUCUUAUGAUGACAGCUGUAUCUAAGCAGAAGGAAGGAAAUACUUUACCUGGAGAGAAGGCUUCAAGCUCAGUACUUGUUUGCAAUUAGUGGGUUCAGAGUUGCAGAAUUCCUCCACUCCCAUGGUGCUAAAGCCAGUGCUUCCUUUGGGGCUCAGCUCGGGUACCAGAGAGACCGGCUGAUACUUCUACUCCUGCGUAAUCCCAAGAACUUCUAAAUAUCGUGAGCAGUUCUUAUGCUUUUCACUCCACAAAACUUGAUAUCUAUGUUUAUGUUAUUAUGAUAAUUCCUCCUGAUAUUGUAUUUCUUCUGUGGAAUAGUAAAGAAUUAAAUGUUCUACCAA